rnacentral:rRNA from 1 species
GGCGAACGGGUGAGUAAUGCGUGAGCAACCUGCCUUUCAGAGGGGGACAACAGCUGGAAACGGCUGCUAAUACCGCAUAACACAUUCAGGCGGCAUCACCCGGAUGUCAAAGGAGCAAUCCGCUGAGAGAUGGGCUCACGUCUGAUUAGCUAGUUGGUGAGGUAACGGCUCACCAAGGCGACGAUCAGUAGCCGGUCUGAGAGGAUGAACGGCCACAUUGGGACUGAGAUACGGCCCAGACUCCUACGGGAGGCAGCAGUGGGGAAUAUUGGGCAAUGGGCGAAAGCCUGACCCAGCAACGCCGCGUGAAGGAAGAAGGCUUUCGGGUUGUAAACUUCUUUUAUCAGGGACGAAGGAUGUGACGGUACCUGAUGAAUAAGCCACGGCUAACUACGUGCCAGCAGCCGCGGUAAUACGUAGGUGGCAAGCGUUGUCCGGAUUUACUGGGUGUAAAGGGCGCGUAGGCGGGGAGACAAGUCAGAUGUGAAAUCUAUGGGCUUAACCCAUAAACUGCAUUUGAAACUAUUUCUCUUGAGUGAUGGAGAGGCAAGCGGAAUUCCUAGUGUAGCGGUGAAAUGCGUAGAUAUUAGGAGGAACACCAGUGGCGAAGGCGGCUUGCUGGACAUUA